rnacentral:rRNA from 1 species
GACGUAGGGCGCGAGCGUUGUCCGGAUUUAUUGGGCGUAAAGAACUCGUAGGCGGCUUGUUGCGUCAGCUGUGAAAACCCGCAGCUCAACUGUGGGCUUGCAGCUGAUACGGGCAGGCUUGAGUUCGGUAGGGGAGACUGGAAUUCCUGGUGUAGCGGUGAAAUGCGCAGAUAUCAGGAAGAACACCCGUGGCGAAGGCGGCUCCCUGGGACGGUACUGACGCUGAGACGCGAAAGCGUGGGGAGCGAACAGG